rnacentral:misc_RNA from 1 species
UUACGUUGGUUUUUAAAACUUGUAGUUAGACUUUUUUUUUAGAUCGUGAUAGUAGUAGUAAGAGUUAGUUAGGAUGUUUUUGGGUUUUUUUUGUCAAGUAAUUGUUAAGUGUGAUACUUUAAAAAGAUCUACAAUGUACAUUACAACUACAAGUAAUGGUAGGCUAAUUUCAAAUCCCUUCAGAGUUCAGUUCGGGAAGUUGCUGUUUCAGUGAAAACUCUGAGCUUGAAGAUUCUUCACAAGUACUGAGAUGUCAGGCAUUAUAUUUAUAACAAUGUUGACUGAAAUUGUUUAACCCUAUAGGCAACUAAUUCUUCAGGUUGGAAACCACUGGUGUGAAGGCUGAUCAUUAAGUAGGCUCAGAACAUGAAGAUGAGGAAAGUAUUAAGUGCUUUGAAGAAAGAAGAAACUCUCCUGAAUUCUCUCUCUGCAAGAAAAUGGUUUUAACACUUCAUCCCUGAAGAUGUGCAGUGAAAGAAUUGUAGGGCUUAUCUUUUUCAGAAGGUGUUUUUAUGGAAGACUACAUUAAGUUCACUUAUGAAGAAAAACUCUUUAGUGCUUCCAAGGUGCAAUUCUCGACGUACAUGGACUGAAGAACAGAUGAAAAAAGCAGUUGAUGCUGUUAUUAUAGAAGGGAGGUCAUUUCAACAAGCAUCAGCUAUUUUUGGAGUUAAAAAAACUUCACUUCAUCAACGUGUUAAACUAUUAACAAAAGUGUUUUUUGAUGAAGAACAUCAUAUAGAUGAUUGAUAUCACAGUCAUUUAAGACUUGUAUAUGGUUCUUUAAAGACGUACUUACAUGGGAUCAAUAUGUGGUGUUAUGUAUAAAGGUGUUUUCUGAUAGCAGUUUAAAUGUUAUUCUGUUAAUUUUGCUAAAGUUAUGUUUCCAUUUUCUUUUUCUAAUUGUAUCAUUAGGAUUUAAAAGCUGAAAUAAAGAUUGAAAUUUUUUAAA